rnacentral:rRNA from 1 species
AGCAGCCGCGGUAAUUCCAGCUCCAAUAGCGUAUAUUAAAGUUGCUGCAGUUAAAAAGCUCGUAGUUGAAUUUCGGGACUAAUAUGUUGGUCGUGCCUCGGUACGUACUGAUAUUUUUGGUUUCUCCCUUCUGACGAACCUUGAUGUCAUUAAUUUGGUGUCUUGGGAAAUCAGGACUGUUACUUUGAAAAAAUUAGAGUGUUUAAAGCAGGCUCACGCUUGAAUACAUUAGCAUGGAAUAAUGAAAUAGGACGUUUGAUUCUAUUUUGUUGGUUUCUAGGAUCGACGUAAUGAUUAAUAGGGAUAGUUGGGGGCAUUAGUAUUCAAUUGUCAGAGGUGAAAUUCCUGGAUUUAUUGAAGACUAACUACUGCGAAAGCAUUUGCCAAGGAUGUUUUCAUUAAUCAAGAACGAAAGUUAGGGGAUCGAAGACGAUCAGAUACCGUCGUAGUCUUAACCAUAAACUAUGCCGACUAGGGAUCGAAUGAUGUUAAUUUUUAAUGACUCAUUCGGCGCCUUACG